GUGGGGAAUUUUGGACAAUGGGCGCAAGCCUGAUCCAGCCAUUCCGCGUGAGUGAAGAAGGCCUUCGGGUUGUAAAGCUCUUUCGCAAGGGAAGAAAACUUACAUUCUAAUAAAGUGUGAGGCUGACGGUACCUUGAUAAGAAGCACCGGCUAACUACGUGCCAGCAGCCGCGGUAAUACGUAGGGUGCGAGCGUUAAUCGGAAUUACUGGGCGUAAAGCGUGCGCAGGCGGUUUUGUAAGUCAGAUGUGAAAUCCCCGAGCUCAACUUGGGAACUGCGUUUGAAACUACAAGACUAGAAUAUGUCAGAGGGGGGUAGAAUUCCACGUGUAGCAGUGAAAUGCGUAGAGAUGUGGAGGAAUACCAAUGGCGAAGGCAGCCCCCUGGGAUAAUAUUGACGCUCAUGCACGAAAGCGUGGGGAGCAAACAGGAUUAGAUACCCCGGUAGUCC
rnacentral:rRNA from 1 species